rnacentral:rRNA from 1 species
GACGAACGCUGGCGGCGUGCUUAACACAUGCAAGUCGAACGGAAAGGCCCUGCUUUUGUGGGGUGCUCGAGUGGCGAACGGGUGAGUAACACGUGAGUAACCUGCCCUUGACUUUGGGAUAACUUCAGGAAACUGGGGCUGAUACCGGAUAGGAGCUCCUGCUGCAUGGUGGGGGUUGGAAAGUUUCGGCGGUUGGGGAUGGACUCGCGGCUUAUCAGCUUGUUGGUGGGGUAGUGGCUUACCAAGGCUUUGACGGGUAGCCGGCCUGAGAGGGUGACCGGCCCCAUUGGGACUGAGAUACGGCCCAGACUCCUACGGGAGGCAGCAGUGGGGAAUAUUGCACAAUGGGCGGAAGCCUGAUGCAGCAACGCCGCGUGCGGGAUGACGGCCUUCGGGUUGUAAACCGCUUUCGCCUGUGACGAAGCGUGAGUGACGGUAAUGGGUAAAGAAGCACCGGCUAACUACGUG